CUCCGAAAAUAUUUGGCUUACUCCAGUACCCCAAGGACCUCCCGCUCCUUCGGUCGCUCUUUGCCGGCGUUUGGGUCGCAAACAAAUUAGCCACGGCAAACAAAGUGGACGACUAGUGGAUGAUAACCCCAGAAAUACAACAACAAUAGCAGCAGCGGCUGCUUGUAAUUAGUGGCAAUAACAAAACUUCAUGGCAUACUUGCAGGUCCUCAAACGUGUGCCAGUGAGUGUAUGUUUAUUUUUAUGCCCGGCUUCCUCUUCCUUUUGGCCCACUGUGUGCAUUUAAGUAUGUUAACAAGGAGCGGAGCGUGGAUGAGGAACUGCAAUUGCAGCAAUUGUGCAUCUAAAUAAAAAAAAAAAUAAAAAAACACAAGCGCAGCGCACUUUUCUGGGCCCCAGUUUCUGUUCAGUUCAGUUCCAGUUGCAAGUCGCCAAGUGCCGCUCACUCAAAUAAAAAAAUUGCCUCUCGUUGUCAGUUUAAUUAUGACAUAAAAAUGCCCGCAAGUAAUUUGACAUCAUUAGCCCCAGCCAAAGGAUGAUGGGUUUAGUGGGGUGAAGCGGGUGGAGCGGGCGGAAAGGAAGGUUCUGCAGGACGACAAACUCAACGAGGACACAAUUGUCGGCGGAAGUGCGCACACAACAACACACUCAUCGCCCCCGUUGUAUUUGUAGCUGUCAGUUUGUUUCGUUGCUGCUGUUCAUACACGUUAAGAAAAUAAUGGGAAUACAAAUUAAGUUACUAUUUGAUAUG
ensembl:ncRNA lncRNA:CR44448 long non-coding RNA:CR44448